UACGGGGGGGGUAAGCGUUGUUCGGAAUUACUGGGCGUAAAGGGCUCGUAGGCGGCCAACUAAGUCAGACGUGAAAUCCCUCAGCUUAACUGGGGAACUGCGUCUGAUACUGGAUGGCUUGGAUUCGGGAGAGGAAUGCGGAAUUCCAGGUGUAGCGGUGAAAUGCGUAGAUAUCUGGAGGAACACCCGUGGCGAAGGCGGCUCUCUGGGACGGUACUGACGCUGAGACGCGAAAGCUAGGGGAGCAAACAGG
rnacentral:rRNA from 1 species